GAGCACCGAUCGCGGCAUGCAAAGGGGGCGGGGCGGGGGAGGGACGGCGGCGGCACCAGAGGAGACCAGAUGGGCAAAAUGGCGCUGGGAAUAAAAUGCAACAAUUUCAGGCAGGUCGCCAUGUUGUCAGGAGCAAAGCGGGGCCCGGCUGGGAGAAAAAAAGAAAGCCGCCAGCGAGCGAGUCAGCGAGGGCGGAGCGCCGGAGCGCGUCGCCUGUGGCCGGCGGGGAGGGAAAAAAACACUACCACCCAGCAACAACAACAGUAGCCGGUCGGGCCCGACGAGUUUCCGCCCGCGCAAAAACACAGAGAGAAACAGCCAGCAGCAGCGCCGCACGAGAGAUUAUAACGGGACCUUUCCGCGGGGGCGGGGAGAAAGCGGAGCGCGGAGGACGCGGCAAGCCGGAGCGACCCCGAAUUGGCGCAGAGGAGGAGAAAAGGAGGAGACUCCGAAAUCGGCAAGAAACAGCAGGGCAUGGAUACUACGGGAGGUGGAGGGAAGGGAGAUUUGGAAUGACUCCGGAUCGGCAAAAAAAGGAAAGAAAAUGUUGAACUUCACGAAAUCAAAUGAAGCAACCUUUUUCUAACAAUUAUGAAACAGAUCGUACGCAGCGGUUUCUAGAAAAGGAAUACAGUACACUAGUUGCUCUUUCAACGCAGCCGCAGUUCCGCCUCUUCCCCCCCCCCUUGUUUCGACGCAGCGGCGGUCAAGCUCAGACGACCGCUCUCGCGCAUGCGCACAACAUGGACUACCUGACGGGCGCGAUCGCCGCCACUUCUAACGCGUGCGCACAAAGGGCCGAAAGCGGCGGGCUGAGAUUGCGCGUGCGCGUUGGAAGGAGCGCUCUGCAAGUGGGCGGGGUCCUGCCUCCUUUGCCGAGAGGUGGGUACAGCGAGGCUCAGUUCUUUUGUCCGCAGCCCGGAUUUCGCGGUUCUUUUUGAAGCUUUGUUUUUAAGUCCUCUCGCGGGAGUUGCAAAAGAUCCUCAUUAAGAGAUAAUAGAAAGUUAUGGCUUGAUUGACCCGGGAAUCCUAGUAUAUCUGGUAGGCAUGUAGGAGGCCGUCCCAGGUGGCGUGCACGUGGUUCUCUACCUCUCCUCAUUUAAUCCCCACAACAACCCUGCGAGGUAGUUUCGCCUAAGAGGCUCAAGGUCACUCAGUGCGUUUCAUGGCCGAGUAGGGAUUUGAACCCAGGCCCUAGUCCUCCGGCACGCGAAUUCCCCCAACCCCUGCUCCCCUGCCCCUCUCUCGCCUGGCCACCUGCCAAGCACCCAAGGGCGAACGGACAGGAACAUGGGAAUCUGCCUUAUGCUGCCCCUUAUGAGGACCUUUCCUACACCUGGAGAUGCCCCUGGGGAUUGAACUUGAGACCUGCCUGCAAAGGAGAUGCUCUUCCCCUGCCCUGAGCUACGGCCCUUCCUCUAAAAAUAAAGUUAAGAUUCUAGUCCUCAUGUUUUUGAAUCGAGGGCCAGUCACUGCCCCAGUUUAACCCACCUCACAGAGUUGUUGUGGGGGCUGAUUGGAGAGGGAGAGAACUAUGUACGCCAGCUUGAGCUCCUCGGAGAAGAAAAGGGGGAUAUAAAUGCCAUAGAUAAAUAUCUUACACCACAGUGUUCAGAACUGCAAAGGGUCGCUUCCAGAUAGUUACAUACACGUUCUCUCACAAACACACCCCUUUCCAUGAGUAUGCAACCUUCCUAGAUUAUAGAUUAUCUCAUAGUUGUACAAUGUUCUCAUAAUUAUACAAUGUGGUUGUUCAGUCAUUUAGUCUUGUCCGACUCUUCGUGACCCCAUGGACCAGAGCAAUGCAGCCCUAAGUAUUACAAUUACCGUAUACAAUAGUAAUAGUAAUAAUUAGGGCUGCAUUGCACCAAUCAGUGCAGAUCUGAUCUUUAUCUUGACAGUUGAAUAGAUUCGAGGCAAUCAAUUGUGAUUAUUGUUUUAUUCCUUAAUUUGUUCGCAUAAGCAAAAUGGCUUUUAUACAAGCCUUUUUUACACCAGGGUAAGUAAACACGCUGUGGGCAAUGGUGCUUAUUGUAAUGAGGCUGUUUGAAAGAUGAUGGAUUGUUCUCGUUUUGAUUUUUAUGAUGUAUUUAGUGUUUUUAUAUUGUGAUUUUAUGCUGCAAACAGCCGGGAGACCUGUGGGUAUAGGGCAGUAUACAAAUUGAAUAAAUAAUAAUAAUAAUAAUAAUAAUCUGUUGUGUUGCCUUUCAGCUAGAUCUGUCAUUCUCUGUGCACCUCAGUUGGUUUCCUUGAAGUUCCAGUUCUCUUGAAACCAAAGCACCUUGUGUUUUCCGUGUUCCUAAAUGCUUAGGUUUGGUGCAUGUGAGAGCCCGCGUGGGGUAGUGGCUUGGGUGUCAGACCAGGGCCUGGGGAAAAGGCCAGGGUUCAAAUCAUCUGGGAGCACUCAGGGCUGAUUUCCUUCAGAAUGGAUAGGUUUGAUCUUCUGGCAGUCCAUGGGACUCUCAAGAGUCUCCUCCAGCACCAUAAUUCAAAAGCAUCCAUUCUUCGGCGAUCAGCCUUCUUUAUGGUCCAGCUCUCACUUCCAUACAUCACUACUGGGAAAACCAUAGCUUUAACUAUGAUCUUGUACCAUUUAUCUAUUUUAGCAUUUCGAAACUGAAAACUACUUUGGGUGCCUUGGCAGAAAGGCUGUGUCCAGGCACGCUGAAGCGAGGAGGAUGAAUAGCAGGACAUGGGCUUCCUCCUGGGGCAGGGGCUUCUGCAGGGGUCCAUUCUCCAGAUUGCUCCUGCCAGUCAGUGUAGGUCUCCUUACAGCUCUCAGCACUCUGAACAGACUACAGCUCCCAGAAUUCAUUGGGGGAAGUGCUAUCAUAGUGCUUUAAUUGUAUUGGGUAGACAUGGCUAUAGAUUCCAUGGGGAAGGAUCCCGUAGAAAAGCUUUGUUUUUAUGGGAAGUACACUGCCUUGGCUCAUAUGCACCCACUUGGCUGCUUCGAUCUGUGGAAACCGUUCCUCAUUUUGUACAAGCUCAAUUUUGUGAGUGGAACUUUGGAACUCCCUGCCUAUUGACACCGAGCAGGUUCCUUCCUUGCACUCUCUUCAGCUCCUGCUAAAAACAUUUUUCCUUAGGCAGGCCUACCCAGAGGUUUGGAAAGCGGAUGGUUUUUUUUAGUCUUUUCAAAAGUCUCAAAUUAUUGCGUUUAAUAUUUCUUACCCCUUCAUGGAUCAAUGUCUUGUCGUGGCGAAGGGGCUUGAAUAACUCAGAGAAGCUAUGAGCUAUCAACAACCUCAGAUAUGCAGAUGACACAACCUUGAUGGCAGAAAGCGAGGAGGAAUUAAAGAGGAGAGCGCAAAAUAUGGCCUGAAGCUCAACAUCAAAAAAACCCAGAUCAUGGCCACUGGUCCCAUCACCUCCUGGCAAAUAGAAGGGGAAGAAAUGGAGGCAGUGGGAGAUUUUACUUUCUUGGGCUCCUUGAUCACUGCAGAUGAUGACAGCAGUCAUGAAAUUAAAAGACGCCUGCUUCUUGGGAGAAAAGCAACGACAAACCUAGACAGCAUCUUAAAAAGCAGAGACAUCACCUUGCCUACAAAGGUCCGUAUAGUUAAAGCUAUGGUUUUCCCAGUAGUGAUGUAUGGAAGUGAGAGCUGGACCAUAAAGAAGGCUGAUUGCCGAAGAAUUGAUGCUUUUGAAUUAUGGUGCUGGAGGAGACUCUUGAGAGUCCCAUGGACUGCAAGAAGAUCAAACCUCUCCAUUCUGAAGGAUAUCAACCCUGAGUGCUCCCUGGAAGGACAGAUCCUGAAGCUGAGGCUCCAAUACUUUGGCCACCUCAUGAGAAGAGAAGAAUCUUUGGAAAAGACCUUGAUGUUGGGAAAGAUGGAGGGCACAAGGAGAAGGGGACGUCAGAGGACGAGAUGGUUGGACAGUGUUCUCGAAGCUACGAACAUGAGUCUGACCAAACUGCGGGAGGCAGUGCAAGACAGGAGUGCCUGGCGUGCUCUAGUCCAUGGGUCACGAAGAGUCGGACACGACUAAACGACUAAACAGCAACAACAAUAUUUCUUAGUGAUAGUUUUGUUUUCUGUAAACCGAUUUUGUUUUGUUUUUUGCAAUUCAGCGGUGUAUAGAUUUUAUGAAAUAAAAAGUAAACCAACUGGGAAUUAGAAGAUGAAGGUAUUUUAUCUGGAACCCUCUGCUUAAUAUGGAACUAGCACUGACACCCCUCACCCCCAAGAAAGGCUCUUCCAAGAACACCAGGGCUGCCCACCCUCAACAACUGCAGAUAGCACAACUAUUUUUUCAGCUGCCAUGGGUGGGGUACGUUUUAGCAGGGGUGUGUGUGUGUGUGUGAACAGCAACACCUCUGUCCUCUCGUAAUCUUCAUUUACCCCAACUGCAACGCUAGAGAUGGCCGGCUGCUGGCGCCAGGCCUGUAGGACGCAAUUCAAUCACAGCACAUCGGAUUCUUCCAAAACACCAGUUUUAUUCAUUAAACAAUCCAAAAGGUCGGUUCUUUCCCCUCAACCCCCCCACCCCUGUUUCCCCUCCCCACCCCCAAAAACAGGCUGAACAACUGAGAAUUUUACUCUAUUUUACACUCUACAGGUAAAAAUCUUCCCGCAUGGCUAGGGCGAGGGGAGCGAGACAAGACCCCUCCUCCCCAAACAGAUACCUAGUCCACCCUCUCGCCCCCAAGAGCCCACCUGGAGAGGCCGCUUCUCAUAGAGAAGGGGUCCAGACCUACCUGGUUGGCUAAGCAGACGAGGGAAGGCGAGGAGGGGCUCUGGGAGGGGGCCUUCCCCCCCAAACCCACCGCCUAGGCUCGCCUUGGAGGGUAGUCGCUACAGACAGAAGCCAAGGGGCUGCCCCAUAUCCCAGAGUACUAAUGCUGGCCCAGAACCCAAGGUUGACAUAAUGUCCCCCCCUCCCCACCAGUUUCCAGAAGAAUUGAGCCAGCUUGGCAGAAAAUGCAUCAGGGAUGUGGGGUGGAGACUGGCAACUCCCUGCUAUUACUCCCCCCCCCCCGCUCCGCGCAAGUAAG